rnacentral:rRNA from 1 species
ACGUAGGGUCCGAGCGUUGUCCGGAAUUAUUGGGCGUAAAGGGCUCGUAGGCGGUUUGUCGCGUCGGGAGUGAAAACACGGGGCUUAACCCCGUGCCUGCUUCCGAUACGGGCAGACUAGAGGUAUGCAGGGGAGAACGGAAUUCCUGGUGUAGCGGUGAAAUGCGCAGAUAUCAGGAGGAACACCGGUGGCGAAGGCGGUUCUCUGGGCAUUACCUGACGCUGAGGAGCGAAAGUGUGGGGAGCGAACAGGAUUAGAUACCCUGGUAGUCCACACCGUAAACGUUGGGCGCUAGGUGUGGGACUCAUUCCACGAGUUCCGUGCCGCAGCUAACGCAUUAAGCGCCCCGCCUGGGGAGUACGGCCGCAAGGCUA